rnacentral:rRNA from 1 species
AGUGAACGCUGGCGGUAGGCCUAACACAUGCAAGUCGAACGGCAGCACAGGAGAGCUUGCUCUCUGGGUGGCGAGUGGCGGACGGGUGAGGAAUACAUCGGAAUCUACUUUUUCGUGGGGGAUAACGUAGGGAAACUUACGCUAAUACCGCAUACGACCUACGGGUGAAAGCAGGGGACCUUCGGGCCUUGCGCGAUUGAAUGAGCCGAUGUCGGAUUAGCUAGUUGGCGGGGUAAAGGCCCACCAAGGCGACGAUCCGUAGCUGGUCUGAGAGGAUGAUCAGACACACUGGAACUGAGACACGGUCCAGACUCCUACGGGAGGCAGGAGUGGGGAAUAUUGGACAAUGGGCGCAAGCCUGAUCCAGCCAUACCGCGUGGGUGAAGAAGGCCUUCGGGUUGUAAAGCCCUUUUGUUGGGAAAGAAAUCCAGCUGGCUAAUACCCGGUUGGGAUGACGGUACCCAAAGAAUAAGCACCGGCUAACUUCGUGCCAGCCGCCGCAGUAA